UACUUAUUUUAUUUAGCAACGAAUAUUACGGAGGGCUGUGGGCUACAUUUAAUUUCGACGGCCUGCAAAAGUGGAUAGAAGAUUUAAAAACGGUUAAAAGUAAUACUAGAAAUACAAAUGUCGAUUUGAAGGGGGACGAAAAAUUUUUGAAAGCUAGUGACCAGUACUUAUUCCACAGUCGAGAACAUCGGAGAAAUCUGGUAUAUUUCCAACGAUGCGGACCUACCUGACGUCUCUUCGAAGGACACCCAGACCGAGAGUUCUGGAGAUAGUGCCGCAGUCGAUGGCGCGGAAAAGACUGAUCCUGAUAAGGCUGACAGAAAGGAGAAUGUGAAACAGUGAAGCAUAGACCGUAUCAAGAAAAAGUAUAGAAGAUUUAAUAUCGAUAUGGCGCCUAAAUUAUUAUUCCCCCGCGGUGAAUUAGUGGAACUGUUGAUUUCUAGCAACAUUGCGCGUUAUGCUGAAUUCCGUGCGGUCUCUAGGGUUGCCACUUUUAUGGACGGUAAACUUACCCAAGUUCCUUGUUCUCGAGCCGAUGUGUUCGCUAACAAAACGGUUAGCGUGAUCGAGAAGAGAAUGUUGAUGCACCUUCUGACAUCUUGCAUGGAAUAGGGUGCCGAUAGUCCAGAAUUUGAUGGUUUCCGUGAUAAAACGUUCUUAGAAUAUCUUAAUACGAAAAAUCUUACGCCU